GCGGUUUGGUGCCUGGCACAUAAUAGGGACUUCAUAGACAGUUGUUACUAUUAUUACCUCUUCCCCCACAUUUGGGGUUUGGCAGAGGGAUGUAUUGGCUACAUGGUCAUUAAGGAUCUGUUAAGCACCUCCUAUGCACGAGGGAGAUCACAUGGUAUGGUCCAAGAGUCUUGGAGUUAGAUGUGGGGUUGAAUCCUGGCCCUGUCACUUCAUAGCUGUGUGUGACCUUGUAAAAUUCUGUCUCCUCUCUGAGCUGAAGUUCCCCCACAGGAAAAUAGGGACCGUAAUGCCCAUCUUCCGGGGCCAAUGCUGGAUUCAAUGAGAUAAUGUACAGGGAGUGCCCAGGGCAGUUCUCAGCACACAAUAGUGCCUCUCAGUAAAUAAGAGACGCAGGAUGGAGAGGACAGGCUCAGUUUCUGCUACAGAAGAGCUCUGGGCAGAGCAGCUCAGAACACUUAUCACACCUUUCUCCUUGACCCUCACCUCUCUGGAAGAUUAGAAGCAGAAGAUUUAUUGGAUCAACUUCUCAGCUGUGGAAUCUGAGCAAACAGAAGGGAAGUGGCUGAGGGAGGCCUCAGACCAGCUGUAUCCCUGGACCAGAGGUCACAGCGCUGGCUAAGGAAACCUUCCAUGCAGGAGUGCUGUGAGCUGAGCAGUGCAUAAGAAAAGAGUGUUUGUGGGAAUCAGCAUUUUACCACCUGGCAGACCUGCCUGGGCUGUAGCAGAGCCUCCCCACUCAGUGGACAAGGGACAGGAGGGAUCAAAGGUUGAGGAAAGAUAUUAUUUCAAUCAAGAUAAUGAUUCUACUUCUUGAACGGAAAUGAGAUUUUUUUUCAUUGCCUCAUGGGGGUGCCACCAACAUCUGUCUCCGGGCUGGAACAGGUCAUGAACAAGUUAGAGGAUUUUCUUGUAACCUGAGAGAGAGUGUAAACAUGAAGGAGAACUGAAAGAAGGGAGCUUGCUUGCAAGAGAAAAACAUAUCUGCCAGGCCUCCACGAUUAUAAAAUAAGCUCAAUUUGGAAAAUGUACACUGGCAUUGAACAGAGCAUUCAAGACCGAACUUCAGAAGGUAAGUGUCCGGUGUGAGCCCUACAGCCUGGAAUUCAAGUGAGGUAAAUGGCCUAAAAAUGCCAUGAUAAUACCAAAGAUGCACAGAGGAGACUCAGCUAUGACAGGACCUUAGACGUCUUCUAAGCCUGUUGUCAGGCAGUGUGGAUCAGCUGUGUAACUGUGCUGACGGAUGACCUAGCUCCUGUUUCAGCCCCUUCUACCAGAGGGGGCUCGCCACCAAAAGAACCCAUUCCAUCUUGGACCAGAUCCUGUGUUGAGGAAGUACCUCCAAAUUAUAGUCAAGUCACUGAAUAAAAGGAAACCACAGUGAAAACUCACACGGUGCUGACAAUGCAGGAAAUCUAAAUGCACUUUGGAAACAGAAUACACAAUAUGCAAAUGACAUCAGAUAAUAAAUGCAGGGAGACCUCAAUGAUUUGCACUAAAUAGUGAAGUUAGUGAAAUUUUAAAUUAUUUUAAAUAUUUGGGAAUUCCAGGGGCUGUCAUGCGGUAUCUCAAAUAAUUUGCUUUAAAUAAUAAUUUAAAUUUUAUGUAUAAUUUGCUUUAAAUAAUAAUUAUUAUUUGCAAUGAGAAAUAAAAAUAAUUUAUUAUUUGCAAUUAGAAGUAAAAAUAAUUUUCAAUUCCUAUAUCAAUUGUUUAUAUAGUAACUCUAAAGAGUUCGAAAACGUUUGUAAAGUUCUUAUGCAUUUUAAACAUUCCACUGAGAGCUGAAUCAGGCUAUUAAUUGCUCCCUCUCCAAAGAAAAGGCCUAUUUCGGCUCAAUCCCUUCUGGAAUAACCCCAACUGCUGACUCUAAAGACCCAAGAAGGUGGCACCUUUCUAUACUGCAUCAGAUUCACCAAAAUUUUGGAAUCUAAACCACAGUCUUGUUGGUUGUAGACUAUCAUUGGAAAGUAACACAAAACUCUGGCAAUAUUGGUUGUCUCUAGGACAGGAGCCUGCUUGAGGCCAGAGGUAGAGGGGAGACUUUUUACAAUAUACCUUCUGGUACUUUUGAAUUUAGAGCCUUGAGACGAUACUGUCUGUUAAGAAUAAAAUUCCAGUUAAAAAAGCACAUGUUAUUUUCAGUUAAAAAAACAGACUUCGGGAUUGAUUUCUAUUUUAAUACCUAUACUCCCAAAAUACAAUCUUACUGCAAUGAAAAUUACUGCCAGGUCAGUGAAAAUGACAUUUGGCUGUCUUGACAAGAGUGGUGCUCACACGCAUGAGAAUAAAAGCAAUUGAUGCCCUGCCCAGGUCUCUGUACCUACUCCCCAGCUGCUGAGUGUGGUACACAGCUUUCACUCAUGACAUUCUCGGGUCCUUGCUCUUGGUUGAGGUGAUGCCUUGGAAGCUGCACCACCAGCAACACUCUGGGGGCAGCUGCUGACAAAUAAGGGGACACACAAGCCCUGCCCCCUGCCUCCAAGUCAGACAUCACUGCAGUGCAGUUGAUGUGGACCAGACCCAGGGAGACCUGCCCUGAGACCACAUUCCCACUCAGCUCUUGCUUCUUUACCCUGCUUCCCUCUCUCCUUGACAAGUGUUUCCUAAGAGCUCUCCCUGGAUACAUCACAUCCCACUGAAAACUGACUCAGGCUCUGCUUCUAGGAAGCCCAACCUAAGUCAGUCACCAGUGGCUCAAAAUGAAGCCCUCCAGCAUCUUUUCAGAGGGUUGUCCCAGGAGUUGGAAGCACACGUGAGCCUUCCUCCUUGAAGGCAGCACCAUAACCACCUUCCUGCCUUGCCGAAGACCACCAGUCUGACAUAAUACAGCCCACGAAAGCCAGCAACAGCAAAACAUGGACAUCCAGAACAGACAGAGUUCUGACAACUGGACCCCGUGGCGCAGCACAAUGAUGACUCUUCUUCCCCAGGAUGAAUAAGCAGGAGGCAAGGGCUGAGCCAAAAGGACCUGUUGCAUAAUCUGAGCAAUGUCCAGUUAUGUGCAGCGGAAAGUCAGUGUGGACGUCUUAGGCAGCUCUACCACUUACUAGCAGAGCAAACUAGAGCAAAUAUUGAAUGAUUCUGAGCCUCAGUUUCUUCAUCUGCAAAAUGGGAAUACUGGAUAGAGCCUUUGUAAAGCACCUAUGAGGCAGUACCUUCAAGAGUGCUGCAAAUUGCUCAUCCAAUGUGAAUACUGGCUGUUGUUAUGGAGAUUUAUAACUAGCUACCUUCUCCUGCUUGCUUGGGACAAAUAUUAAUUAAUCAUCAUUAAAUAAAUAUAUCCCAGCUGCCCCUCAUCCUGAGCACAGUACCUAGAGCUCCCUGCGUGAGAAGUGGCUCUGGGGGAAAGGCAAGUGGACAAUUGGGAGUGCUGUAUUGGUGACUGUCCGCCAGGAGCUCAAGAUGUGGCCCCAUUACUGGCCUCACAGGGCUCUGGUGGCCCUUGGCUGCAGCUGUGUGGAGAAUUUUCUCUCUCUCUCUCUCUCUCUCUGUCUUUCUCAUUCCCUCUCUCUCUCUGAGACAAAGGGAGUAUCUCCAAUGCAGAUUUCCUAUAAUCUACUCAGUGUAUAGACUGAUCUCAAAUACAACCUCAAGUUUGUGAAAAAUUCAUGCAGCCAUUUUCAUAUCGUGGAGUGGCCGACAAACAGGCAGAAACUAAAUUUUAUUUACAUAGGUGAAGAAUCCUUUAUUCCAUCCUGAUUCUUUGCAUCUGGACCAUUCCUGAAGCCAUGCCAAGCCCUCCAGCACCUGGCCCUGUCCAACCUCACCAGCAUCUUCUCCCCUCCCACCCUCAGACCCAUGCCUACACCAUCCUCCACAUAGGCAUCCACC
rnacentral:lncRNA from 1 species